UACGAAGGGGGCUAGCGUUGCUCGGAAUCACUGGGCGUAAAGGGUGCGUAGGCGGGUCUUUAAGUCAGGGGGGAAAUCCUGGAGCUCAACUCCAGAACUGCCUUUGAUACUGAAGAUCUUGAGUUCGGGAGAGGUGAGUGGAACUGCGAGUGUAGAGGUGAAAUUCGUAGAUAUUCGCAAGAACACCAGUGGCGAAGGCGGCUCACUGGACCGGAACUGACGCUGAGGCGCGAAAGCGUGGGGAGCAAACAGG
rnacentral:rRNA from 1 species